CACGUAGGGCGCGAGCGUUGUCCGGAAUUAUUGGGCGUAAAGAGCUCGUAGGCGGCCUGUUGCGUCCGCUGUGAAAACUCGGGGCUUAACCCCGGGCCUGCAGUGGGUACGGGCAGACUAGAGUGCGGUAGGGGAGACUGGAAUUCCUGGUGUAGCGGUGAAAUGCGCAGAUAUCAGGAGGAACACCGGUGGCGAAGGCGGGUCUCUGGGCCGUAACUGACGCUGAGGAGCGAAAGCGUGGGGAGCGAACAGG
rnacentral:rRNA from 1 species